CGCCCCCAACCCUCAUCGCGGCUCGCCGCCGCAGGCCCUUCGGCCAAUCGGCCGCGCGCCGCGGAAGCCAACGCAGCAAGAAGCGGCGGCGGUGGUAGUUGUCAUGGCAGAGGAAGGUUAUGAAGAAGAGGAACAGGCGGAGAAUGAUGAUUAUUGCAAAGGGAUUUAGGGGUUAACGAGCCGGACCGGAGGAAGCAACCCUCGUACAGGUGGAGGAACCACAUGCGCGCGCCAUCCAGCCCAAAUUGGUCGUCGCCGACAUCCAAGAGAUUGAGAAGAAGGUGAAGGGCUGACGGCCAUGAUCAGACAUGCCGGUACUUUUGCGAAGGGGGUGGAGCUGUUCUUCAAGAGCAGGCCCUAGCUGAUUAACUAUGUUGAGGUGAAUUGUAGAUGUUAUCAAGCCGUUGUUGAUUGAUCUGACAGUGCUGUCAGGUCUCGAUGAUGGACAGCUGGAUAUUGAUGGAAAUUAUGCCGACGGCAGGUGCUGACGCAAGGCUGGUUAGAUCACAAGCUACAGUUUCGUUUUCUAUUGUUUAAUGCAUAAGUUAUUUCCCCAGCAUAUGUGUUAGUUUAAAUUGUGCUAGAACUUUUGUAGAAUAACGAGCAUGUUAUUAUUCCCGGCUUUUGUUAAAUCAUGUACUCUCUUGAUUUUUGAUA